rfam:Picea glauca, whole genome shotgun sequence.
UAAAUGGUGUUUUUCAACACCACCCCAAAUGUUUUCGGAAAGAUGG